GGAACGAACCUGCAUCUCAGAGCUCCAAAGACCACCAAUCCCACUGUGUCACAGCGGGAACUCCUCAAAGCAAAAUCAUUUUCACUCCCAUGAGUCUGACGGGGUAUGAUCAAGCCUUUUUCAUUCUUGUUGUUUUUGCCUCUUUCUUUUGGCUUCGACCGGCAUGUGGAAGUUCCCAGGCCAGGAAUCAAAUCCGAGCCACAGUAGUAACUUGAGCUGGUCCAGUGACAAUGCCAGAUCCCUAACCUGCUGUGCCACAAGGGUACUCCCUGCCUUUUUCAUUCUUAAGGUACCAAAACUGAUCCCCUUCGUUGCUCUUCCUCCUCCGGAGUUUUCCUCCCGCCCAAGUGAGAAGAAACUGGGACUCAGCAAGGGUGAGAGUUUAGCCAAAGUCACCCACUCAAGUGGGGUAGAACCUGUCUCUCACCAGGGCUUCUGACCUCAGGGCUUGCUGGUGGUGAGCGUGGUGCAUUCAGCACUGAGGUUGGUGUCUCACCUGCAAGUUGUGUCUGAGUUGCUGGCUUCAUCUCUCUGAGUCUUAUCUUCCUUGAAGCAAGGAAGUGAGGUGACUUUGCCACUGACAAUGUUCUUCCGGGUACCAGGGGCCCGUGACCUAGUCUUGCCCAGAGUCAGAAUUGGCCCACAGAGACUGGAGCUCCUCUCUAGCCCCCAGACUCCACCAACUAGUACCUCUCCAGUCCCGCCUUUUUUUCUUUUUUUUUUCCAGCUGCACCUGAGGCAUAUGGAAAUUCCUGGGCUAGGGGUCGAAUCUGAGCUGGAGCUGUGACCUGCGACACAGCUGCAGCAAUGCUGGAUCCUUAACCCACUGUUCCAGGGCUGGAUUGAACUGGUGUCUUGACAGAGACAAGCCUAAGCUGGAUUUUUUUUUUUUUUUCCUUUUGUUUGCUUUAGGGCUGCACCUGUGGCAUAUGGAGGUUCCCAGGUUAGGGGUUGAAUCAGAGCUGUAGCUGCUGGCCUAUACCACAGCCACAGCAACACCAGAUCUGAGCUGCAUCUGAGACCUACACCACAGCUUGCAGUGACGCUGGAUCCUUAACCCAUGGAGUGAGGCCAGGGAUCAAACCUGCGUCCUAUGGAUCCUAGUCAGAUUCAUUUCUGCUGCAUCACGAUGGGAACUCCCCAGGCUGGAUCUUUAACCCUCUGCACCACAGUAGGAACUCCAAAUUAUUCUACUAACCAUUUCUCUCUCUCUUUCCUUUUUUUAUGGCCGCACCUGCAGUGUAUGGAAGUUCCUGGGCUGGGGAUGAACCCAGGCCACCAGAGGGACAAUCCUGGGACACUUAACCCACUGUGUCACAGCUAGAACUCAGCCCCACCUUUGUUUUGAUCUAACCCCCUUCUCCAGUACCCAUGCCUCCCUCAUAGACAAAGCUGGGGCCUCUGGAUUGAAAUCUUGGGCCCCCAGUUCAGCCCCAGCUUCCUGACCUUAAGUUCUAGCAUCAUGCUCCCUCCCCUCCCCAGUGGAGAGAUGCGCCCUCUCCCUCCUCUCUCCCAGCCCUGACUCCUCCUCUUCCAUCGUCUCCCCACCCCCUCCCUCUCCUACUUCUUUCCUCUCUCCUAUCCCUCAAGUUCUCCGGGUCUCCCACCCUCCCCUACUCCCUGUAUCUCCUCGCCCCUCUCCAACCCUCCUCUUCCCUUCUCUGUGUUCUCCUUCUCCUUGUCGCCUGUGUGGGGCCUCUCCUACCAGGGCACCUGUGUCCCAUCAUCCUGUCAGGGCGGCCCCUCCAUCUCUGAGUGGGGCUGUGGUAGGGCCUGCUGAGUGUCUGCCCUGCCGCAGGCUUUGAACUCUGCCCAGAUCUGGGCUUUGGGAGACCUUGGGCGCAGGCUAUGAGAUGCUGUGCGUUGCCCUGGGUCGGGCUGAUGCCUACAUGCUCUCAGAUGGCACCACCUUUGCUUGGGACACUUGAGGCCCCCAUGCCCUGCUGCUCGCUCUGGACCUAGAGGGCAGCCUGGCUCUGCUGUGUGGAGAGGAGGCAAGGGUGCCCAGCCCAGCUCACCCACCACCAGCCAUUGCCAGGCACCCAAAGGACAGAAGCCUGAGCUAAUUGGGUGGCAGUCUGGCAUUUCCAGAUGCUAGUGCUUGAAGCUGGUGCUGGAGGCUCUGAAGGAUGUGCUGUGAGGUCAGCCGCCUCCCCACCCAAAGGUACACAAGGCUCUAGGCCAACUUUCCAGGCUGGUGGAGUGAGAGUGGGCCAUUCUCUUUUUAAAAAAAAUUUUGUUAGGAAUUCCCUUGUGGCUCAGUGGGUUAAGGAUCUGGUGUUGUCACUUCUGUGGCUCCAGUUACUGCUGUGGCAAGAGUUCAAUCCCUGGACUGGGAACUUCUGCAUGCUGUGGGCACCAAAUUUUUUUUUGUUGUUGUUAAAAUACAUAUAACAGGAGUUCCCAUUAUGGCUCAGUGGGUUAAGAACCCAAUUAGUAUCCACAAGGAUGCAGGUUCGAUCCUUUGUCUUGUUCAGUGGGUUAAGGAUUGGGCAUUGAGGCAAGCUGUGGUAUAGGUUGCAGAUGUGGCUUGGAUCCCACGUUGUUGUGGCUGUGGUGUAGGCCGGCAGCUGCAGCUCCGAUUCACCCCCUAGCCUGGGAACUUCCAUUUGCCAAGGCUGCAUAUGAAGGUUCCCAGGCUAGGGGUUGAAUUGGAGCUGUAGCUGCUGACCUACGCCACAGCCACAGCAAUGCAGGAUCCGAGCCACAUCUGCGAUCUACACCACAGCUCAUGGCAAUGCCAGAUCCUUAACCCACUGAACGAGGCCAGGGAUUGAACCUGAAACCUCAAGGUUCCUCGUCCGAUUCAUUUCCGCUGCGCCACGACGGGAACUCCAUUUUAAGUGUUCAGUGGCUCUAAGUACAUUUACGUCUUGUGCAGUUAUCACCAUCAUCCAGCUUUAGAACUUUUUCAUCUUCCUAAAGGGAAACAGAACAAUCACUCCCCAUUUCUCCCUCUGCCAGCUGCCCCCCCCACCUUGGGCUCUAUAAAUGUGACCUGCCCUCCUCCCAGCUCCACACAGGUCUGUUCUCUAGGCUCUCCCUGGCCCCCUCCUUUCCUCUCUUCCCUGGCUCCAUUCUUCUGUCCCAUUGCUUGGCCAGGCUGCUAACGCCACUCCACACUGGCCCCCGUCUGCUCCCAGCCCUUCCCCUGGUGUUCCUCUUAGAGGGGAGGGUCCCAUUCUCUUGACCUUCCCCUCAGCUCCACCCCUGCCCACCUGGAUGCCUCCCCUCCCUGCUGCUCCCUCCUCAGGCCUAGCAGGUGCUCCAGAUCCUGCCCUGACCCUGCCUGGAGAAGGCCACCCAUCCAAUGCCCUUCUCUUGUGACAUUUUCUUUUCUCUUGGCCUCUGGGAGAGAGAGGAAAAAGCACAGGCUUUGGAACUCCCAGAGGUCGGGGUUCAAAUCCUAACCCUGCCCUUUACUGGCUUGACUCUGGCACUCUGGCAAAAAAAGGAAACGAGACAAAUCAUACAGGCCUAACAGGGCUGUCGUGAGGAUUAAAUGAGCUCACGGCUCUAAGUGCCCCGCAUCAGGCCCAGGGCCCAGCAGAGUGCAGGGGUCCAGCCCCGCAGCCUCCUUUCCCCUUCAGCUCCUUUACUGCUACUGACCCCUCUGCUGUGUUCCUUCAACAUAAGGGUUUCCUGGAAUGUUUCUUCUCUUGCUCUGGCCUUCACUCAUGUAACGGAGCAGGGCCCUGUGAGGCCUUCCCAGAGUGUCCCCUCCCCGCCCACUCAUGUCCUGCACCUGCCUUUUUGGCUAUAGAAAACUUUAGUUGAAGCAUCAACUUAAUCAGGGAAGUGAAAAAAUACAGAGAAAAAGGAAAAUAGUCAAGCACGACAGAAAAUAAUAAUUUAGCCAUUCAGCAAAGUCAAGGACCUUCAGUUCUUCUUCAAAGCCUAUAGAUAAUAUUCUGAGCCAUGGGAGUUCCCAUCGUGGCUCAGUAGUUAACGAAUCCGACUGGGAACCAUGAGGUUGUGGGUUCGAUCCCUGGCCUCGCUCAGUGGGUUAAGGAUCUGGCGUUGCCAUGAGCUCUGGUGUGGGUUGCAGAUGCGGCUCAGAUCCUGCGUUGCUGUGGCUCUGGUGUAGGCUGGCAUCUACAGCUCUGAUUCGACCCCUAGCAUGGGAACCUCCAUAGGCCGCGGGAGCGGCCCAAGAAAUGGCAAAAAGACAGAGAAAAAAAAAAAAAAUUCUGAGCCAUGUCUUUGGAGCCCUUUUGCAGGUGUUGAAGCCCCCACUGGGUGGAAGAAGUCAACUGGAUGCUGCCCACAGCACAUGGACCCCAGACUGGCUGGGACCAGAAGGUCGAUGAUGCUGACUCUAAAUGACCUCACCACCCACCAAUCAGGACAAUGUCCACGAGCUGAUCACGCCAGGCUCCUCGAACACUAGAAGACUCCUCCCUACCCCUUCCAGGGGGGGGCAUGGUCCUUGGGGGCACUAGCCUGCUGUGUUCCUCUCUUUGCCUGUCCAUUAAAGCUACUUUUUUUUUAGGGCUGCACCCAUGGUAUAUGGAGAUUCCCAGGCUAGGGGUCUGAUCAGAACUGUACCUGCUGGUCUACACCACAGCAAUGCAGGAUCCAGCCAUGUCUUUGACCUACACCACAGCUCACGGCAGCGAUGGAUCCUUAACCCACUGAGCAAGGUCAGGGAUUGAACCUGUGUCCUCAUGGAUGCUAGUCAGAUUCGUUAACCCCUGAGCCACGACGGGAACUCCUAAAGCUACCUUUUCUGUUUCCUCCAACUCUGUGUCUCCAUGUUUCUGUUGGGCAUCGGUGUAGAGGCAGCCGACAUUUCAGCAACACUCGCCUGUGGAUCAGAAAUCACUUUUUAUCUCUAAUUUGACUACUCCUCUCUCCUGAGUUUCACAUCUCCAAUUCCAGGUGGGACAUCUCCAUUUUUCCCCUGGGCACCCAGGUUUGGAAACUCUGAGUCAUCUCAGACUCUUUCCAUUUCCUCGCCCCACUGCCAUCCCCCCUUUAUUUUUUUGUCAUUCCAGUGGCACGUGGAUGUUCCUGGGCCAGGGAUCAAACCCACACCACAGCAGUGGCAAAGACAGAUCCUUAACCUGCUGUGCCAUAAGGGAACACCAGUCACUCUGUCCUUUGCUUUUUCCCUCUGAAAGUCCUUUCCAAGGAUUUCCCCUCCUUUCCGUGGCUCUGGUCUUAAUUAGCUCUCCCCUGGGGCAUGGCAGUGAUGUCCCAGCUUCCCUCCAGGCAUUCAUUCCUCCUCUUCCAAGGUAGGCCCCAUGCUAAGGCAGUUCAUCUUGUCAAUUAAUUUCCACGGGUCCCCUUUGUCCUAGAACACACCCAACCCAGCCACCUAAGUUCUCAAUAGUCCUGUCACCCAGACUGUCUUCUUUGUGCUUCAUCUACUGUUUUGUGAAGUAUUGCAAAGUAAAUUACAAAUAUGACAUUCCACCCUUAAGUAUUUUCAUAUGCAUAUUAAAAAAAUAGUGGAGGAGUUCCCAUCGUGGCUCAGUGGUUGGUGAGUCCGACUAGGAACCAUGAGUUUGCGGGUUCGAUCUCUGGCCUUGCUCAGCAGGUUGAGGAUCUAGUGUUGCCGUGAGCUGUGGUGUAGGUUGCAAAUGUGACUCGGAUCCUGCGUUGCUGUGGCUCUGGCGUAGGCCAGCGGCUACAGCUCUGAUUAGACCCUAGCCUGGGAACCUCCAUAUGCCGCAGGAGCGGCCCUAGAAA
rnacentral:lncRNA from 1 species